rnacentral:piRNA from 1 species
UGAUGAAGCCAGUUUUGGGAAGAUUA